rnacentral:lncRNA from 1 species
ACAGCCGGUUUCCGAAACGUUAUUCAAAUCUUCGAUCAUCUAAUCGAGCUGUUAGAUUUGAUCAACUGUUAACCAGUGACCAGUUUCUCAAACGUCGAUCAUCUUAAAAUUAUAUGAUCGUAGAAAAUCGAUUAUCUGACAUACGAUUUGGUAUCGAUACUGUCACAAUCGGCUGUCAUCCUUCAAAAUUUCAUUUUAUAACCAAAAAAUUUCAAUCCAUAGUAAAUAACUACAUAAUUUAUAAAAUUAAAAAAUAUAUUAAAAAUGAGCAAUACCAACGGAAAUCCUCCACGCAAAAAUUAUACUGAGAGAGAAAUGUUUGCUGUUGGAAAUAAUUGGAAAAUACAAGCAUAUUAUAAUUGAAAACAAAUAAUGUACCAAUGCUAUGUCCACCAACCAAAACAAUGAAACUUGGGAAAAAUAGCACUGGAAUUUAAUGCCAGCGCUGAAUUUCCCAGAACUCCCAAGCAGCUGAACACUGAAAAGUAGCAAUGGAAAAUAUUCAAAAAUAUAAUGAGCAGAAGGUUUUGGACCAGUUGAAAAGAGACCAAACUGCGGACAAAAAAGACAUACUUGCACUCUGGUGAUGGCACAUUUAGGCCUCGUCUCACAGAUGUAGGGGCACAAAUGUUGGGUUUGAUUGGCAAUCAAAUCCAAUCUUUACCCAACAGUUGUUACAGUGCAUCUGGUUUCUUCACAUCUGUUGCUCAAGAUAGUCAAGUGGAAGUAGAUUACCUACAAUUGGAAGACACAUAGCAGAUGUCCAAUGUACCCUCUACUUCCACUGUGCUGCUCAGUACACCCACAACAACUGCUGUCCUGCCCAAGAAGACAGCCAAGAUGUCUCAGGCUCGUUCAAAAAAUAAAAAAUUAAAAGAUGUAGGGAGCGAAACUCUUAAUGUAUCUUUUACAAAAAAAAAAAAAAAAAAAAAUUGAAAUAGCAAGACUAGAAAAAAGAAGUAAGAUAGUAUUUUUCAACAAGAAAAAAAGAAAUUUUAGAAGUAGAGCUUCAAAUAAAAAAAUUCGAACUCAUAAAUUAUUAGGUAAUAGUG